GCCCUCGUAGCUCAGUGGUAGAGCGCAUCCUUGGUAAGGCUGAGGCCAUGGGUUCAAUUCCCGUCGAGGGCUCCA
rnacentral:tRNA from 1 species